rnacentral:rRNA from 1 species
UACAGGGGGUGCAAACGUUGCUCGGAAUCAUUGGGCGUACAGCGCACGUAGGCGGUUCGUUAUGUCGGAUGUGAAAGCCCUUGGCUUAACCGAGGAAGUGCAUCCGAAACUGGCGAGCUAGAGUACGAAAGAGGAUCGCGGAAUUUCCGGUGUAGCGGUGAAAUGCGUAGAUAUCGGAAGGAACACCAGUGGCGAAGGCGAUCAUCUGGGGUUGUUCUGACACUGAGGAGCGAAAGCUAGGGGAGCAAACGGG